CUAAAUUAAAAAGCAAUUGCCUAUAUAAUGCCGUAAUAUGGUCGGCGAGUCUCUACCCGAAGCCUUAAACUUCGGACUAUACGCAUGAAUUAAGUUGUU
rfam:Lactobacillus oligofermentans DSM 15707 = LMG 22743 strain DSM 15707 NODE_85, whole genome shotgun sequence.